AGAGACAAGAUAUAUACAUGUUAUGAUUGACAAUUCAUAACAUAUGUACAACUGGCUAACGGAAGAGUUCUUUAAUGAUAAAUGAAAAUAACAUUACUGGGAUGGAGAGUUGUCUCAUUGGCACUCAUACCACAUCUUCUUAUAUCAUUUCACCUGUAAUUUACCUGUUAUUUACCUGUAAAAAAAAUCGGCGCAAAUGAAAAAAAAAAAUCGGCGCAAAUGAAAGAAAAAAUCGGUGCAAAUGAAA
rnacentral:lncRNA from 1 species